rnacentral:rRNA from 1 species
CCUACGGGAGGCAGCAGUGGGGAAUAUUGCACAAUGGGCGCAAGCCUGAUGCAGCAACGCCGCGUGAGGGACGACGGCCUUCGGGUUGUAAACCUCUUUUAGUAGGGAAGAAGCGAAAGUGACGGUACCUGCAGAAAAAGCACCGGCUAACUACGUGCCAGCAGCCGCGGUAAUACGUAGGGUGCAAGCGUUAUCCGGAAUUAUUGGGCGUAAAGAGCUCGUAGGCGGUUUGUCGCGUCUGCUGUGAAAACUGGAGGCUCAACCUCCAGCCUGCAGUGGGUACGGGCAGACUAGAGUGCGGUAGGGGAGAUUGGAAUUCCUGGUGUAGCGGUGGAAUGCGCAGAUAUCAGGAGGAACACCGAUGGCGAAGGCAGAUCUCUGGGCCGUAACUGACGCUGAGGAGCGAAAGCAUGGGGAGCGAACAGGAUUAGAUACCCUGGUAGUCCAUGCCGUAAACGUUGGGAACUAGAUGUAGGGACCAUUCCACGGUUUCUGUGUCGCAGCUAACGCAUUAAGUUCCCCGCCUGGGGGAGGUACGGCCGCGACGACGUAAACUAACGUAAGUAGAGUGAGAGAGAGACGAGACGACGACGACGGAGAGGAGAG